rnacentral:tRNA from 1 species
GCCUUUAUUGCGUAGUGGUCAGCGCGUUCGAUGCGUAACCGAGAGGUUUGUGGUUCGAUUCCCGGCGAAGGCG